AUUGAACGCUGGCGGCAUGCCUUACACAUGCAAGUCGAACGGCAGCACGGGUGCUUGCACCUGGUGGCGAGUGGCGAACGGGUGAGUAAUACAUCGGAACAUGUCCUGUAGUGGGGGAUAGCCCGGCGAAAGCCGGAUUAAUACCGCAUACGAUCUACGGAUGAAAGCGGGGGACCUUCGGGCCUCGCGCUAUAGGGUUGGCCGAUGGCUGAUUAGCUAGUUGGUGGGGUAAAGGCCUACCAAGGCGACGAUCAGUAGCUGGUCUGAGAGGACGACCAGCCACACUGGGACUGAGACACGGCCCAGACUCCUACGGGAGGCCGCAGUGGGGAAUUUUGGACAAUGGGCGAAAGCCUGAUCCAGCAAUGCCGCGUGUGUGAAGAAGGCCUUCGGGUUGUAAAGCACUUUUGUCAGGAAAGAAAUCCUUGGCACUAAUACGGUCGGGGGAUGACGGUACCGGAAGAAUAAGCACCGGCUAACUACGU
rnacentral:rRNA from 1 species